CAGCAGCCGCGGUAAUACAAAGGGGGCUAGCGUUGCUCGGAAUGACUGGGCGUAAAGGGCGCGUAGGCGGUUCACGCAGUCAGAUGUGAAAUUCCUGGGCUUAACCUGGGGGCUGCAUUUGAGACGCGUGGGCUUGAGUGUGAAAGAGGGUCGUGGAAUUCCCAGUGUAGAGGUGAAAUUCGUAGAUAUUGGGAAGAACACCGGUGGCGAAGGCGGCGACCUGGUUCACAACUGACGCUGAGGCGCGAAAGCGUGGGGAGCAAACAGGAUUAGAUACCCCUGUAGUCCCUGUCUCUUAUAC
rnacentral:rRNA from 1 species